rnacentral:rRNA from 1 species
GCGGCUUGUUGCGUCAGCUGUGAAAGCCCAUGGCUUAACUGUGGGUUGGCAGCUGAUACGGGCAGGCUAGAGUUCGGUAGGGGAGACUGGAAUUCCUGGUGUAGCGGUGAAAUGCGCAGAUAUCAGGAGGAACACCGGUGGCGAAGGCGGGUCUCUGGGCCGAUACUGACGCUGAGGAGCGAAAGCGUGGGGAGCGAACAGGAUUAGAUACCCUGGUAGUCCACGCUGUAAACGUUGGGCGCUAGGUGUGGGGGGCCUCUCCGGUUUCCUGUGCCGUAGCUAACGCAUUAAGCGCCCCGCCUGGGGAGUACGGCCGCAAGGCUAAAACUCGAAGGAAUUGGCGGGGGCCCGCACAAGCGGCGGAGCAUGCGGAUUAAUUCGAUGCGACGCGAAGAACCUUACCUGGGUUUGACAUGGCCGUUAAAGCCGCAGAGAUGUGGUGUCCUUCGGGGGCGGUCACAGGUGGUGCAUGGCUGUCGUCAGCUCGUGUCGUGAGAUGUUGGGUUAAGUCCCGCAACGAGCGCAACCCUUGUUCGAUGUUGCCAGCGG